UUUCCGUAGGUGAACCUGCGGAAGGAUCAUUACAGAGUUCAUGCCCUUCGGGGUAGAUCUCCCACCCUAUGUAUUACAUACCUUUUGUUGCUUUGGCAGGCCGCUUCGGCCACCGGCUUCGGCUGGUGCGCGCCUGCCAGAGGACCCCAAACUCUGAAUGUUAGUGUCGUCUGAGUACUAUAUAAUAGUUAAAACUUUCAACAACGGAUCUCUUGGUUCUGGCAUCGAUGAAGAACGCAGC
rnacentral:misc_RNA from 1 species